rnacentral:siRNA from 1 species
CAUGGCCGUGAUACAUUUUGC